CAGUAGCCGCGGGAAUACGAAGGGGGCUAGCGUUGUUCGGAUUUACUGGGCGUAAAGCGCACGUAGGCGGACUUUUAAGUCAGGGGUGAAAUCCCGGGGCUCAACCCCGGAACUGCCUUUGAUACUGGGAGUCUUGAGUUCGAGAGAGGUGAGUGGAAUUGCGAGUGUAGAGGUGAAAUUCGUAGAUAUUCGCAGGAACACCAGUGGCGAAGGCGGCUCACUGGCUCGAUACUGACGCUGAGGUGCGAAAGCGUGGGGAGCAAACAGGAUUAGAUACCCGGGUAGUCCCUGUCUCUUAUAU
rnacentral:rRNA from 1 species